rnacentral:rRNA from 1 species
ACAGAGGUGGCGAGCGUUGUUCGGAUUUACUGGGCGUAAAGGGUGCGUAGGUGGCUUUGUGUGUCGGACGUGAAAUCCCACCGCCUAACGGUGGAACUGCGUUCGAAACUGCAGAGCUUGGAGUGCAGGAGGGGAGAGCGGAAUACUCGGUGUAGCGGUGAAAUGCGUUGAUAUCGAGUAGAACACCGGUGGCGUAGGCGGCUCUCUGGAAUGCAACUGACACUGAGGCACGAAAGUCGGGGGAGCAAACAGGAUUAGAUACCCUGGUAGUCCCGACUGUAAACGGUGUACACUUGGUGUGGGCGGUAUUGACCCCGCCCGUGCCGGAGCUAACGCGUUAAGUGUACCGCCUGGGGAGUACGGCCGCAAGGUUA